rnacentral:ncRNA from 1 species
AAAUAAGUUAUUCCUUCAUAUAUCCUCAAUAAUAUGGAUUGAGAGUCUCUACCGGGCCGCCGUAAAUGGUCUGACUAUGAAGGCAGAAUAUC